UAGCCAUCGCCGCCAUGUUCAUGCCCGCUGCGUGCGCUGCACGGUGCAGGUGGUAGGACGUUGCUGCGACGAGUUCGCUGGGUGUCGUCACAAAAUUCCCGGCUGCUGCGUGCCGUUGUGCAGUAAUCACUCAAGGAAUGGUUGGCGAAUGUUUCAGUUUCCAAGAGAUCCAAAAAGAAGAACUUUGUGGACUGCAAGGAUCAAGCGGGACAAAUGGCAGCCCACGAACACCUCGUGCAUAUGCUGUUUUUGCCUCGUCACAGAAAGGCACCAAAGGAUAGGACCGGACCCGCUGUCCUCUCGGCCCUACCUCAAUAUCAACACGACGUAGCCACUGAUGAUCAUGCAGCUGCGAUGGACCCAAUGUCGUCACCAGGCAGGUUUGAGCUGACUCAAGGACAGAAUUGCAGCCCACACGACGCCAACUCAAGUGCACUGAUAGCAGACGAAGCAGGUCUGUAAGUCUCAGCCUGUGGAAUGAAUGCUGGAGUCUCAGACCUGCAGGCUGCUUGUACCUCUUGCGCAGAAUUAAGUAAGCAGCUCGCAGACCUGACACGGAAAUACUGCGAACUUCAAGAAUUGCAUACCCAGGCAAACUCAACAAUCCAAGGUCUCCGAAAGAAAGUUAAGACGCUCGAAGGUAAAACGAAGGUAAAACGGGUAAACGAAGGUAAAACGGGAGCUGAAAGUCGCGCCAAAGCUGUCGGACAUGCACGUGUCGAACGGGAAUUUUACGAAGAUUAAGGUGGGAGUGGCCGUUCAGUUUUUUCGAGAAGCUCCUGCCGGGAUUCGGUACUUGAUAAAGCAGAAGAUCUUGGAUCCGGAGGCGAAACUACAGCGUGGUUUUUAGAGGUUGUCUUUAAGUGGUAUGCUCUUAUGUCAUCAUGACACCCAUCAACUGCCUUGAGUCUUGAACACAUGGACAAAUAUCACGCAGCCAUAGACGUGUUGUGCUUGGCGUCUGAGACCAUUCGGGGAACAAACAUGGGGAGUACAUCCCAAUGGAAGCCCUCUCAGGUGGGUUUCUUGAUAGCCACAGACGUGACCUAAGAAAUGAAGGCUACAAGUCCUUCCUCACGAGCCGAUUGCUCCAGGACUGCUUGGAAAACCUGUUGUCGGUUAUACGUCUCAGGAAGCCUGUUCCAAGCGCCUACAAUAUGAAGUGUGCGUUGAAGCUUGUUUGUGUCAGCCAAUUCUUCCACACACCGUCAACGACUAGCUACGAUGUCGAUGACGCACAGUACCUGAUCGACCUGCUGUCGGCAGGUAUGCAAGAAGAAGCGGCAGCCGAGAUUGAAUCGGAGAUCCCGUUUGUCGAAGAGCUAACAUCAGCUGAGUGCGAGAUUUUGUUUCAUAUCGGUGGGUUUCUUAUAAAAGGGAUCCUUAAAUCUAUUGGCCACUGCGAGCAGUGCAAGCCUGCAUUGUCAGCCUCAAGCAGCAGUGAGCAUGCGUACUUGACGUCCCUCAAGGAAUACGUCUCUGAAGGCAGCAACCUUCAUUACCCAAGCGAUCUUGCGAGGAACAUUUUAAUGGUAUCACCACCUGGAGGGAAAGCGUUUUCACCAUGAAAUCUCCUUUGAAAGCUGUAAUCGCAUACUUGACAAAGAUGUUGUGGUGGGGCGUAACUGGCGCCUGUCAGGAACACAAAGAAACAGUGGAAAAGCACACGCGAGACUAAGGCUGCGUGUGCACCUGCGUCAAGCCGCGGCAACGGGACUUCACGGGCAUGCAAGCAAGACGUGUGCAGGAGUGAGCCUACAGUGAACACUGAAAUUAAAUUUUAAUGCAUAUCACCAGAAUUCAAAAACUUUCGUUUCAUUUGUGUUACUCUUUUAAUAUAGUUUUCAUUCAUCUGUUUAUUCUUACUUUGCUGUGCGUGCUGAUUUUUCACCUUGUGUCUGUACAAGCUUCCCGCUUUUUUUCCAAUUUAUCGAGCUGAGCUGCAAGCUGACAUUCUAAUUUAUUUUGUUCAAGUUAAUUCAAGGCUUCUUUGUAGUUUCUGGUCGUUGGUCUGAGAUCUACGAAAGACCUGCGGCAAUUGACACCUCCUGACAGCUGACAUAAUAAAAACCUGCAUGGCGACCCAAACGUCGUGACCGAAAUCAGGUGUCUACUUGUCACUUAUUGACCUCUUUUAUUUACCACCGGCAUCUUCUUAUGCAGUAGGAGUUUCCAGGGCUGCAUACCAACACGCUCACAAGCAACACAGGUUCACGGUGCAACUCUUCGCGAAGAACAGAAGUGCUGGCAGCGUAGCAAUUUUUUGCAUUCCUCUAUGAACGCUUGUGUUAAACGCAUCAUUUCCCACUGUGAAACAAAAUGAUUGCCGCGGAACCUAAUUUCUGUAUUUACAGUUCGUAAACAAAACACGCCAGGCCGCUGAUCAGGGGUUGCAACGCGUUUUACGAGGGUACUUCCAGACGACAGCAUUAAAACGACACUAAAUAGAAACAGGAAGUUGAGCUGGCAUAAAAGACGGGCCUUAUAGGGAGUGCGCACAUAUUUUAUUCGGCACAAAAAUAUUUCUUGAUAGUAGAGAAAUUCGUAAUCGAAGUAAUUAAAAAAGCGCAUUGCUUCUGUCAAACCGCUCAUCCACACGCGCGCCAACAACGCGCCGCUCGCAGCGGGCAAGAACAUGGCGGACGCCGUAACAGACGACGUACUUGUCUCCACCCUGAACGGAGCGGCGGGCGAGGAGGACAUCGAGGCACCCUAACCCCACUUCCUGUUGCGGAGGAAGUGACGAUUACUAGGCUAGCGAGUGCUCGACCACUGGCUUGACGAGCAUAGAGUUAGUAGAACAACUCUAGAGGAAAAGCUGGGCCGGAAAAGUGGGAACCUCUAGGGCGCCGCCCUGUUGCUACUGGUCAAUGUGGCCAGCGCAAUUACUAUUGAAAGAGCUGAAAACAAGUACAGGUCACCUUAUGCUUUGUCAUCUAAAAACGCACGCAUAGCUAAUGGCUUUAUGAAGGUGGUACGUUAAUAUUAAGUUUACAGAAAGCAAUCGCUAAGUCCGUGACUUAUGUAAAUCACGAUGUACGCAUUCAUGCAAUAAAGGAUGACGCGAAUUUCGGUUUCGAACCUGUUUUUUGGAUGCGUAGCAGUUUCGUACAGUUUAGGUUUGACAUGCGAUCGCGCGUCGACAGUGCCUUAUGUGCCACCGAAGCCCCGAAGUGCUCUGGCAUAUACCUUCACAUGUAAGUAAACGAAUGUAUCUCCUUGUUGAGAAUAUCACGCUAGUAGGCAGCUCUUGUGGUGCAUCACAAUCGUUUGAGAAGCGUCACAGUAGAGCAUUUUUCUACAUGCGGAGCGGUGUUUUUAUUUGCAGGUUUCCCUUCAGUAGGAAAUUGCUGGACAGGCGGACCAGUGCACCGGAAUUGUACUGGCGAAGCCACAAGCAACUCAAAGAAUCUGUUUAAUUGUUGCACUUUGAACAAUCAUGCCUCUACAAAGGCCACAGCAGAAAAACAGCCUGAUGCCGAGUAUUUCUGUGACACGAAGUAAUCAAGAGGCGAGUGCCUAAUGCGGACGAAAUCGAGUGCAUCGAGACUUAGAACGACAGAAAGCUGAGCUUGUUGGUAAGGAUUCAUUAUGCAAAAUAGAGGUGAGGCGUGCAGACAGGACACAAGAGUAGAGAAGUGGGCGGCGCUCGUGUUGUUUGCUUGUAAAUACUCUACUCUUGUGUCCUGUCUGCACGCCUCACCUCCGUUUUGCAUAACGAGUGAAUCAACCCAUAUAUUAAUAGCGUAGGCGUUUUAUUAUAUUGUGCAAUAUUUUCAACACUUCCUUGCAUGCCAUUUCAUGUGGAAUAUCUUUUCUUGUCACAAAUUUGUGCAGCGAAUCUAUUUGCAUGAUCGACUCCGGGCCUGUGGGACCGUUCAUUUGCACUUGAUGCUGAGUCUUUUACGUGUAUCCAUAAACUGCAGAUAUGCACAUCAGAUCCCUGCGAGCAUUUUCGAAAUUAAAUUAUUUUAGACAACAGGCACAUAUGCAAUGCUGACAUAAUCUCAAAUACCACUAAGCAGCUGGGACACAUUUUUGUUGACCAUACUCGCAGGUAAAAUAAGUAGAUCAUGUGGACAGCUCCAGCUCAUUUUUCUUAAAUCAGUGUGUACAAGGGGUAUGCAAAAAUAAUUUUUUUCUCUCGCACCGAUUAUUUUGCUGUAUAAGCAAGAGAACCCACCAUGCUAGUGUAACGUAUCUUGUACAUCACACUAAUAUGUGCUUUAAUUUACCAAGUGAAAUGAGUUACUUUUAUGGCUCAUUCAGUCAUAUCACACUGCAAGCUUCAUUCAUCAAUCUUCAAUUGGAUUUUGCAAAUGUUUAAUGAAACAUGUUUCCCUUUUAUGCAGAUAUGCAAUGGCAAGCCCUUCCUUGUGUUCCAAAGGUAUAAUUUAAGCUCUAAAUUAAAGAAGACAUUUCUAGUCAGAAACAAGCAAAAAUGGUGAAUGCAGAGUAUCAGAAGCCCAAGGUACAGAAAUUAUGAGAAAUGUCGAAUGAUUUUAAGGAAAGAGUCGUAUUUGAAAAUUCAAGACUCUUUAGUGGAGUUCAAGCAAGUCAAUAUACGUAGAAUACUCUGCAAAAUUAUGCGAGUGAGGGGAUGUCAAACAAUGGGUCAGGAAAUGCAUUGUUUUUCUGCAAAACAAAAGCUGAUUGCCAUUACAUAAGUCACUUUAGCAUCAUGAGACUGCUGCUUGGUAAAUUCAGAAAUAAACCAAAAAAUGGGACACGCAAAAAUAAAAAACAAUUUAAUGAUGCUCUCUCCACACUGGGAUAAAUAAAAUAAAAACAAACACAUCACAUCUAAUGUAGACAUAUCAGACGCCUUCUGAAACACUAAAGGAAAAAUUCAGUUUUGAGCUAUGGCACUUGCCACAUAGAUGUGGGGGGCCUUGCACUAAUAGUGAUAGUUACCACUGCAUUUAGAAAUUAAAGCAUUCAUGCAGACAAGGAUGAUUCUUUAUAUUUUUGGCUACCACUUCAAAUGCCUCCACCAAGUGUUACAAUGCUGCACGCAGCCAUACUAAGGAUCUCGCAGCAACACCUGCAGGUAAAAAGAAGCAGUCAAAGUGAUGGUGUGUACUGAACACUAUGUUUGAAAACCAUUAGGCAAGAAGAGUGCAAGAAGCAGACAUAACUGCAUUUAUUUCCAUAAUUCCCCAUUUGAAUGGCCUUUUCUUUUUGCUUAGACAAUGCCUACGCCUAGCCACAGCAGCUCCCUCAUACAGACUCCGCAAGCCAAGAGGCCGUGGAGGCAAAUGCAGGCAGCCAGCACACCUCGAACAACAGCCACCUUGACUGCGGGUGUGUCACCCUAGUCGCCAAGGAAACAUCUGAGGGAAAGCGACAGGCAAUGUGAACAGCCACUUCUCCAUGUAAACGAUACUCUUUCUCUCGGAUGACUCCUACGCCUCGCCACGACAGCACACUUGUGCACAAAGAUGCCGCGGAGGCACGUGCAGGUCAGAGGCAAUAAGCAGUGGCACUGGUGUCGACAUUCACCCAAUUUCUUUUUCUUCCACUGAGGCAGCCAGCACACCUCGACUGCGGGUGUGUCAGUAGAUUCCUGUUGUACAUAUGCUCAUAACAAACUUCAGUAAACUUGAACUUGAUAAUAAACUUGGAGGCAAAUGGGA